AACGAACGCUGGCGGCAUGCCUAACACAUGCAAGUCGAACGAGACCUUCGGGUCUAGUGGCGCACGGGUGCUUAACGCGUGGGAACCUGCCUUUAGGUUCGGAAUAACUCAGAGAAAUUUGAGCUAAUACCGGUUGAUGUCUUCGGACCAAAGAUUUAUCGCCUUUAGAUGGGCCCGCGUUUGAUUAGCUAGUUGGUGGGGUAAAGGCCUACCAAGGCUACGAUCCAUAGCUGGUCUGUGAGGAUGAUCAGCCACACUGGGACUGAGACACGGCCCAGACUCCUACGGGAGGCAGCAGUGGGGAAUAUUAGACAAUGGGCGAAAGCCUGAUCCAGCAAUGCCGCGUGAGUGAUGCAGGCCUUAGGGUUGUAAAGCUCUUUUACACGAGAUGAUAAUGACAGUAUCGGGAGAAUAAGCUCCGGCUAACUCCGUG
rnacentral:rRNA from 1 species